GGGCCCUUAGCUCAGUUGGUUAGAGCAGCUGACUCAUAAUCAGCGGGUCGCAGGUUCGAGCCCUGCAGGGCCCA
rnacentral:tRNA from 1 species